rnacentral:misc_RNA from 1 species
CUUAAAUGUUAUUGGACAAGGUCAAGUAACAAUCCCAACUUCAGGAGGAGGUAAUGUGAAUCCUCAAGAUCAGAUGCUGCUUCAGGAGGGAAAGACAAUCAACAAGCCAGAUAAUGAUGGGGAUGCAAAUGCAUCACAAAUGAAUUCUGGAGUUUCUAUGACUCAGAAACUGGUAAGCAACAGUGAACAGCUUACUCAGCUUACCAACAUCUCGGCCUCUCUAGCUCACUUACUUGCAAAUGGAAAGCAGCUGCCCCAUCUUUUUGCUGUUCAUAAUUCCAAUGCCCAUAAUUACACAGAAACAUCUUCCAUUGUGAACACUGAGGAGCUUGUUAAACCAGAUUCUGCAGUGACUACAGAAUCAAAUCAAAAUGUAGGGCUGAGGAAGCAGUAUGAUCCUAUAUGUGACAGCCUUGAUGCUGAGAAGAAUGUUGUCAAUUAUAAUCCACCAGGUUUUUCACAAAACUUUGUUAUAGAGAAAAAGGUUGUGGAUGGGAAACCAGAAAUGUCAUCCAAAAGUUUGUCUCCAUCUGUUGCUGGUGCACCAAAGGCUGGUGAUUAUAAUAAGUUCCACAGUUUGCAAGAACCUGAUGGCAAGAGUUACCAGGUAAAUGAGAUGGAACCAGGUGCAAACUCCAUAGUUACCAAGGAAAACAAUGGGGUGGUAACUGAGGAAAGCAGGAAAGUAGAGGAGGACAAGACUGCACAAGAAAAUGAUGUCUUGGAGAACAUUGAUGGAGAUGGAAAGACUGAUGAGGGCAAACAAAGCAAGGAUGUCAAGGGGAUUCGUGCAUUUAAGUUUGCACUUGUGGAGUUCGUUAAGGAGCUUCUGAAGCCCAAAUGGAAGGAAGGUCAAAUGACCAAGGAUGCUUACAAAAACGUUGUAAAGAAAGUAGUUGACAAAGUUACCGGUUCAAUGCAGGGGGG